rnacentral:lncRNA from 1 species
CUGGCGGGUCCCAUUGCAGCAGUGAGGCGUGGGGCGGUGGCCGAGUGCUCCUGUGGGUUUGCUGCUCCUGAAUCCAGCAUCUAGUUCUGAAUCUUGCUUUUGAGGGUGUGCAGUUCCUGGUGCGUCUGCCGGAGUGAUGUUGCAUGUUAAGUGAUGUUAUUUUCUUUUUCUUUUUUCCUCUGAAUUUUGUUUCUGUACAGGGCACAAUCGAUCAAUGAAAGAUGGGAAAAGAGUCAAUAUUCAUUGAUGGUAAAAUGUCGGUGCUCCUUCAAAAUGAGUUGUGGAAUAAAUGACUGACUGUGCCGGUGGCACCCCAGGGCCAGGGGAAGCGGAGUCCUGUGGACCAGCUCCAGCUGCUGCUGCGACCGGCUCUCGCGGCGGGGCCGGCUUCGGGGCGAAGCAGAGCAGAGGGCCGCCUUCCCCGACGUGUGCGCAGGAGCCGCCUGCCCUUGCUGGUGUCCGUGUCCCUGCGGGUGGGCACGGCGGGUCCCUCAGCUCCCUCCCUGCGCCCGGGAUGCCGGCACAGCCCGCGUGGACGCCGGCCGGCUGGGCAGCGCGCUCGUCUGCCGUUAGCCGUGGUAACCAGGUGAAAAACGUGGAAACGCCUCCAGCUUUCUCAUCUACCCGCUCGGGAGUUUAAGUAGGGCGCCAGGGCGAGUUUUUCGCUGGGUUGUUGGAAGGUCUCUGAUGAAACGCGGGAACCGUGUAGCUGUGCGGGGCCAGCCCGCACCGGUGCCACGGGAAUGGUCCGGCUUCGCCUCCGGGGCACGGGGGUCCCACCGCGAGGCCCCAGCCUGGGGGUGUGUGUGUGUGUGUGUGUGUGUGUGUCUUCCCGGUGCCCACACCACGAUGCUGCUGGUGCUGCUGGGGGCAGUCGCAGCCACCCCCGAGCCCCUGCCCGGGCUCUGCCGUCCUCUGCUGUGCUUUCUCCCGUGCGUUGGUGAGGGAAGAGCGUGGAGCAGUGCUGUCCGCGGGGGCAGAGGAGCGCCCAGGGAGCGGCGGCAGAAGAAUGAAAUGAAGUUGAAAGAAAAUGUCCUUUCCUCUGAAAAGAGAGCAGAAGAGUCUAGGCACCAGAAAGCCCUCCUGUUGAUGCCCAAAGGAAGCCGUGUCUCCAGUUCAGCCUCUGUCAAGCUCUGGAUGGUGCCAGUGGCAGGAACCUGCCUGUAA